CAGCUCCCACGCUGCCCUUCAGGGCCACUCGGCGAUGGGCUGAGAGUUAGGCCUUGCUCUGGAGCAGAGAUGCAAGGGAGAAAGGAUCCAGGUGAAACAAACCCUAGGAUGGGGUCUGCUGGAGUGGAGGUGAUGGCUGCAGGGCAGUUAAGAGGGAACGGACCAGAGAAGUCGAGGUAAAGUUGCCUCCCAGGCAGGACCUGGUGAGUUGGGUCCACCUCACUCCAAGAUGAAGCCAGGUGAAGAUACAGUAAGAAGAUGGCCAUCUACAGACAGGAAGCAACAGAGCACCCACUGGCACCUUGAUCCGAGACGCCCCACCCUCCAGGACUGAGGAAGACAGCAUAUGCUCCUGAACUUAGUCCUCGAAACAACUCUAUUUCACAGAUGGGAACGUUAAGACACGCAGAUCGUCCUAAGUAGCUGAGUAGGGGAGCUGGGACUCAGCUCUAGUCAGUUCAGUUCCAGGGCCUGCACAUUUAACCUCCAUACUGAGAAGAGAAGGACCCGCCCGAGUCCUGUCUCCAAGGACCUCUGGCUGCAGUGGCGACAGCGAGGAGUCUGCCAGCAGGGUAAGGGGUAGGAAAAGUGCCCACAUCAGGCAUCUGUGAGCCCUCACUGCUGCCUGCUGUCUGUACAGCAUUGCAUUUAUAGAACGAUGGCAGCUCUGAGAUGGUUCUCAGCUAGAAGAAUCAGGAAGGGCUCCUUGGAGGAGGUGGUGUUCCAGUGGGGCCUUGACAGAUAGGUAGGAUUUGGCUUAGAGAGACAAAGGUGAGGGAACAGUGGGGCCACAAGCUCAGAGGGCCGGAGCACCCAGAGCACAAGGGAGAAGAAACACAGAGGCAAAACUGGGAGUGGGUGUUGGGGCCGUGGCAUGGGGGGCCUUGAGUGUCAGACUAAGUGUCGCUUUCACUACUAGUAUUUUCUAGAGGAUGCUGAUGAUAAGUCACCUGGAUGCUUGUUAAAAAUAUGGAGCAGCAGGCAUGUCUCUUAGAGAUUCUGAUUCAUGAGGGCGGGGGUGGGGAGUGGGAGUCUGCAUUUUUACCAAACAAGUUUGAGAAAUAUUGCUAUAAACAAUAUGAAGCCAUUUAAAGUUUCUGAGCAGGGAAUUGGUCUCAUGUGCCCUGGGAAGGCGCAUUUGACUGCAGGCUGUGUUGCACGUCCAUGUGCUGGGAGGCUGGGCUGGAUGAGAGAGGGAAGGGCUACAGGCGGUGAGAGUCUGGGACAGACAGAAGCAACGGCAGACAGAUGAGAAAAGAGUGAGAACAGAGGGGCGGCUGGGGAUACAGCUCAGUGGCAGAAGUGCUUGCCUGGCAAGCGCAAGGUCGUGAGUUCGAUCCCCGGUACUGCAGAAAAAGAGAGGGAUGGGUAAGAGAGGUCUUUGGGAGGCAGGGUUUCAGGAUGGGUAAAUAAUUGCUUGUCAGGAUAAGGGGAGAAAGAGUCGGAGAUGGGAAGAUGUUGGCACAAAGAUAACUGGUGGAAGGCAGGGAAAGCGCAUUUGGUUUGGGGAGUGUUAAGUUCAAGGUGCUCUGGUGCAGGUGCUGAAAUGGGGCCUGGGGCUUGGGAGAGAACAUGGGCCGGGAAAGUCCUCUGCACAGAGGUGACCAUGGAACCAAAAGAGGCUGCUGAGGCAGAGGUGCAAGAGGACAAGGUGACAGGAGCCGAGAGUCUUCCAGAAGAUGAAAAGGCAACGAAUCGGAGAGUUAGUAGAACUAGACCAGGCCCAGGGACCAGGCCCAGGGACCCGGCAUCUGAGAGAGGAAACAUUUUAAGGGGGCAGAACCCAAAAAACAACCAUGACAAAAACCACUACUAACAAUUUCAGAUUGCAGAUGCCAAGGGGAAAUAAAAGCAGGUCAAGUCAGAAGGCACCACAGUGGGGCCAGUUUGGCCAUAGCACUGUGAAGAGCUGAGCUAGGUGAGGUUGUUCUCUUCCGAAAGGAUUGCAGUAAAUGGAAAGAGAAAGAAGACAGCGGGCAACUGAGCAAGCAGGAGGUGGGCGCCAGGGGAUGGGUGUGACCCCUUUAGAAAGUUCUCUGUCCUGGCUGUUGGACCCACUCUGUCCUGGCUUUGAUCAUAAUUUACCUUCACAGCAAUGCUCAGAAAACAAUGAGGUCGGUACUACAGUAAUUCUCAGUGCAGAGGUGAUGAAACGGAGGGUAGGGAACGUCAGUAAUGGGACCCAGGCUAUGCAGCUAAGUCUGAGUCUAUCCAAAGCUUUGCUACGUGGUCCUGAAAUCCCAGCCCCACAGUUUUUUACAUUGUUGGGGACAAAUAAACUUUAUGU